UGAGUAGGCGGUAAUAUGUGUCAGAUGUAAAAGGCUAUGGCUUAACCAUAGUCGGCAUUUGAAACUGUAUUACUUGAGUGCAGGAGAGGUAAGUGGAAUUCCUAGUGUAGCGGUGAAAUGCGUAGAUAUUAGGAGGAACACCAGUGGCGAAGGCGACUUACUGGACUGUAACUGACGCUGAGUCACGAAAGCGUGGGUAGCAAACA
rnacentral:rRNA from 1 species